rnacentral:lncRNA from 10 species
AAACUGAUAAAGGAGCUGCAAGGGACAGAACUGCCUGCAGUGAACACUUAGGUCACAUGCAGAUACCUAGAGGGCAGUUGGCCUCAAGAGACAGAUUCUGCAGGGCCUGGGGGAAGGGUGCUCACCCAGCUUCUGUCCUGCGUAGGUCAUAGUUAUAGCAUUAUUGACUGUAAUAACUAAUAGAGUCCACCCAGUCCAGGCAUAUCUAGAAGCCUAUCAGCUGGCACUCUGUAAAGAAGAAGUGUGGAUAAUCCCAGCACUUUGGGAGGCCGAGGCGGCCCUCAGAGGAUAGGAUGGAAAGUUCAUUUUGAAUUUUAAAAGGGGUGGAGUGGGGAGAUGGAUUUGGAAUCAAAUGCUCUUUUUUCUUCAGCCUUGAAAGAUGGAACUGAAGAACAAGGGGAAAAUCAUCAGUGACAACAGUUAAUGAAGUUAAUUCUUACAGUCCUUGUGAGUAUUAUCAUCAUUUGUAUUCUAUAGUAACCAAGGUCAAGAGUUCGAGACCAGCCUGACCAACAUGAUGAAACCUUGUCUCUAUUAAAAAUACAAAAAUUAGCCAGGUAUGGUGGCACGCACCUGUAAUCCCAGCUACUCAGGAGGCUGAGGCAGGAGAAUCACUUGAACCAGGGAGGCG